UCCGCAGGAAGGCGCGCAGCUCCGGCAGGCUGAUGUUGAAGAUGCGGCUGAAGUUGUGCAGGGUCCGGUUCCAGCGCAGCUGCGCCGCCGCCUCCGACGGGCUCUCGAGGGCCGAGAAGACGGUGGCGCCGGCGCUCAGACUGUUCGUCCUUGCCAAGUGAAGAAAAUUGCUUGCGUUUACACCUAUGCUAUCUUUCCAGGAAAAGAGGACAGAUAAAAUGCAACAACUUAGUUUACAAGCUCACCUUGUUCAGCACAACUGGGGCCAGACUUUUCAGAACAGAUUGGUAUUCUUCAGUUCUCCAAGUUAAGGGCCGUUUCCUUUGAAAGGACUGAAUGGCCAAUUAGGCUGUGAAGGUGUGCUGCAGCCUGCCAUUUCUCUUGGCAAUAACUUGGAAGAAAGAAGAAAAGCUUUUUGGAAAAAAU